rnacentral:misc_RNA from 1 species
GGAUAAAAGUCGUAACAAGGUCUCCGUUGGUGAACCAGCGGAGGGAUCAUUACCGAGUUUACAACUCCCAAACCCAAUGUGAACCAUACCAAACUGUUGCCUCGGCGGGGUCACGCCCCGGGUGCGUCGCAGCCCCGGAACCAGGCGCCCGCCGGAGGGACCAACCAAACUCUUUCUGUAGUCCCCUCGCGGACGUUAUUUUUACAGCUCUGAGCAAAAAUUCAAAAUGAAUCAAAACUUUCAACAACGGAUCUCUUGGUUCUG